rnacentral:rRNA from 2 species
AGUGGACGCAUCACUGGUGUUCGGGUUGUCAUGCCAAUGGCACUGCCCGGUAGCUAAAUGCGGAAGAGAUAAGUGCUGAAAGCAUCUAAGCACGAAACUUGCCCCGAGAUGAGUUCUCCCUGAGACUAUAAGUCUCCUGAAGGAACGUUAAAGACGAUGACGUUGAUAGGCCGGGUGUGUAAGCGCAGCGAUGCGUUGAGCUAACCGGUACUAAUGAACCGUGAGGCUUAACCUUACAACGCCGAAG